AGCAGUCAAGUUCUGAACCCGGCAUUAUCGUAUAUUUAUUGAAAGUUUUUUUCAAAACACCUUUAAAGUCGAACAUCGCCUAGCUGCCUUCUGAAAUUAAACAAAAAAAUGGUGCUGUUUUCCGUCCUAAUACUAAACGUUUUCACUACAAUAUACGCUCUUGAAAACGAUGUCAAUGUUGAAGACCAGUCUUCUCGCAUUUGGUACGGCAUUCGUGCCAACAUAACGGACGCUCCAUACUUCGCAUCCAUUAAACAUUGUGGUGCGGCCAUCAUCUCUGAUCGUUGGCUGGUCACGGCGGCUCACUGCGUAACAUUGAAAUUCAUGAAAUUCAAAAUUAAACUAGCAUAUAUCGGAGGAGACAGCAUUGAAACCAGCAAAGUUUACACCAUAGAUGACGUGAUUGUCCAUCCGAAAUACUCGUUUGUUUCACAAUUCGAUCUUCCCUAUAAAUGAUGUUGCUCUCAUACACUUGUCAAAGUCGUUGAAGUUCAGCAAGAAAGUCCAACCUAUAACGCUCCCUGGGAGAAAUUAUCAGGUUAAUGCUGUUCAUAUUUUCGUCGGAAGGGAAAAGACCAGACGGACAAACUGACCAAAUAUUUAAUGAGUAUGAAAGUUCGUGCUCUAGACGCGGAAUCAUGUUUAUCUUAUUUGCCAGUAGAAGAACAAAGGGUUGUUAAACCAUAUUUGGAACAGAUGAAGGAAGUAACUAUAUGCACAAAACGGGUUGAGGACAUACCGGGACUAUGUCAUGGCGACUCUGGCAGCCCCCUUGUUCAGAACCAGACUCUCGUCGGUAUAGCGUCCUACAUAUCUCAUCGUAACUGCUCGCUGGCAAAGCUUGGCAUGUUCACCAACGUGGCUGUGUAUGUGGACUGGAUCGAAUCCAUUACCCUUGUAAGGCCCAAUGUACAUUAAAAUGUACAUAGUGUUGCAAUCUAAUUUGAACCUUUUAAGAAACGAUUAAAGUAGAAUUUCCAUUGUUACAUUGAUUUUUAAAACAAGCGAAAAUCUUA